rnacentral:rRNA from 2 species
UGGGGAAUAUUGCACAAUGGGGGAAACCCUGAUGCAGCGACGCCGCGUGAGGGAAGAAGGUUUUCGGAUUGUAAACCUCUGUCUUGUGGGACGAUAAUGACGGUACCACAGGAGGAAGCCAUGGCUAACUACGUGCCAGCAGCCGCGGUAAUACGUAGAUGGCGAGCGUUGUCCGGAAUUACUGGGUGUAAAGGGAGUGUAGGCGGGAUCAUAAGUUGCGUGUGAAAGGCGGGGGCUCAACCCCCGGACUGCGCGCAAAACUGUGGUUCUUGAGUGAAGUAGAGGCAGGCGGAAUUCCCGGUGUAGCGGUGGAAUGCGUAGAUAUCGGGAGGAACACCAGUGGCGAAGGCGGCCUGCUGGGCUUUUACUGACGCUGAGGCUCGAAAGCAUGGGGAGCAAACAGG